UGGGGUGUAGCUUAGUGGGAGAGCAUGUACUCAGCAUGCGAUAGGCCCUGGGUUCAGUCCCCAGCACCUAAA
rnacentral:tRNA from 1 species